rnacentral:rRNA from 1 species
GAUGAACGCUGGCGGCGUGCCUAAUACAUGCAAGUCGAGCGAACAGACGAGGAGCUUGCUCCUCUGACGUUAGCGGCGGACGGGUGAGUAACACGUGGAUAACCUACCUAUAAGACUGGGAUAACUUCGGGAAACCGGAGCUAAUACCGGAUAAUAUAUUGAACCGCAUGGUUCAAUAGUGAAAGACGGUUUUGCUGUCACUUAUAGAUGGAUCCACGCCGGAUUAGCUAGUUGGUAAGGUAACGGCUUACCAAGGCAACGAUGCGUAGCCGACCUGAGAGGGUGAUCGGACAAACUGGAACUGAGACACGGUCCAGAAGCCUACGGGAGGAAGCAGUAGGGAAUAUUCCGCAAUGGGCGAAAGCAUGACGGAGCAACGCCGCGUGAGUGAUGAAGGUCUUCGGAUCGUAAAACUCUGUUAUUAGGGAAGAAAAAAUGUGUAAGUAAAUAUGCACGUCUUGACGGUACCUAAUCAGAAAGCCACGGCUAACUACGUG